UACGAAGGGGGCUAGCGUUGUUCGGAAUUACUGGGCGUAAAGCGUGCGCAGGCGGCCAUCCAAGUCAGUGGUGAAAGCCCGGAGCUCAACUCCGGAAUUGCCAUUGAAACUGUUCGGCUCGAGUACGAGAGAGGUGAGUGGAAUUCCCAGUGUAGAGGUGAAAUUCGUAGAUAUUGGGAAGAACACCGGUGGCGAAGGCGGCUCACUGGCUCGUAACUGACGCUCAUGCACGACAGCGUGGGGAUCAAACAGG
rnacentral:rRNA from 1 species